UUAACUUACAUCUACACCGCCAGGGGAUUACGAGCAAUGCUUAAAACCCAAAGGAUUUGACGGUGUCCCACCCCACUAGAGGAGCCUGUUCUAUAAUCGAUGAUCCCCGCUUCACCUAACCAUCCCUCGCCUAUCAGUCUGUAUACCUCCGUCGAAAGCUUACCAUGUGAACGCUCGCAGUAAGCUUAAUGAUUUUAUCACCAACACGUCAGGUCAAGGUGCAGCUUAAGGGACGGAAAGUAAUGGGCUACAAUUUCUAACUUAGAACAAACGAAAGACUAUGUGAAACCCUAGUCAUGAAGGUGGAUUUAGUAGUAAAAAGAAAAUAGAGUGUUCUUUUUAACCCGGCUCUGGGACGCGUACACACCGCCCGUCACCCUCCUCAAUAGUACUUCAUCUGUACCUAACCCCACACUACAUUUUAGAAGAGGCAAGUCGUAACAUGGUAAGUGUACUGGAAAGUGCACUUGGAAUACUA
rnacentral:rRNA from 1 species